rnacentral:rRNA from 1 species
UACGGAAGGCAGCAGUGGGGAAUAUUGCACAAUGGGCGAAAGCCUGAUGCAGCUAUGCCGCGUGUAUGAAGAAGGCCUUAGGGUUGUAAAGUACUUUCAUCGGGGAGGAAAAACAAAACUAAUAAUUUUAUUUCUUGACGUUACCCGAAAAAGGAGCACCGGCUAACUCCGUGCCAGCAGCCGCGGUAAUACGGAGGGUGCUAGCGUUAAUCAGAAUUACUGGGCGUAAAGAGCACGUAGGUGGUUUUUUUAAGUCAGAUGUGAAAUCCCUGGGCUUAACCUGGAACUGCAUUUUGAAACUGAAAUACUAGAGUAUCGUAGAGGGAGGUAGAAUUCUAGGUGUAGCGGUGAAAUGCGUAGAUAUCUGGAGGAAUACCUGUGGCGAAAGCGGCCUCCUAAACGAAUACUGACACUGAGGUGCGAAAGCGUGGGGAGCAAACAGGGAUUAGAUACC